GGGCGCGUGGCUCAGUCGUGUAGAGCGUUCGUCUAGGUUGACUCCAGGUUCGGGGUUCAAAUCUUCGCACGUCCA